GAACACCUGACCUGCAGUGCAGCAGAAUUCAGAGACAUGUAACUUAACGUACUCCAGAGACGCAAUAACUUGCACAGCAUUGAAUGGAAAAGGCUUUGUCCAUGUCCAGUUGAGGGGCAUCAAGAACACGCAGAUGGCCUA